UAUUCUGCUGUACUCAGGUCAGUGCCUCAUCCAGUCAUCAUCAGAGAGGCUUCCUCUGGCAGCAGAGGGAACAGAUUCAGAGACAAGAAAAAAUCAGAUGUAUCCUAAGUUGGGACCUGUUUGAUGAGAUCCAGUCAGAUACAUAGGUGUAGGAGAAGGGGGGCAUUUUAAACAGAAGGGUCCCCAAAUAAUGAUAGUCUCAAAAACAUAGGUCAGUAGACUCAGAAAGCAUUUUAUGUAGUUUUAGAGAUUGAAGCU